rnacentral:rRNA from 1 species
GGGGAUAACUACUGGAAACGGUAGCUAAUACCGCAUAACGUCGCAAGACCAAAGAGGGGGACCUUCGGGCCUCUUGCCAUCGGAUGUGCCCAGAUGGGAUUAGCUUGUUGGUGGGGUAACGGCUCACCAAGGCGACGAUCCCUAGCUGGUCUGAGAGGAUGACCAGCCACACUGGAACUGAGACACGGUCCAGACUCCUACGGGAGGCAGCAGUGGGGAAUAUUGCACAAUGGGCGCAAGCCUGAUGCAGCCAUGCCGCGUGUAUGAAGAAGGCCUUCGGGUUGUAAAGUACUUUCAGCGGGGAGGAAGGGAGUAAAGUUAAUACCUUUGCUCAUUGACGUUACCCGCAGAAGAAGCACCGGCUAACUCCGUGCCAGCAGCCGCGGUAAUACGGAGGGUGCAAGCGUUAAUCGGAAUUACUGGGCGUAAAGCGCACGCAGGCGGUUUGUUAAGUCAGAUGUGGAAUCCCCGGGCUCAACCUGGGAACUGCAUCUGAUACUGGCAAGCUUGAGUCUCGUAGAGGGGGGUAGAAUUCCAGGUGUAGCGGUGAAAUGCGUAGAGAUCUGGAGGAAUACCGGUGGCGAAGGCAGCCCCCUGGACGAAGACUGACGCUCAGGUGCGAAAGCGUGGGGAGCAAACAGGAUUAGAUACCCU